UGCCUUGUACUUAUCAGUCAGUCCUGGCUGAAAAAGUUUGAUUACUAUAAGAUCAUCUUAAUUUCUUUCUAUGUAGAAGGAACAGCAUCCAUUGUAAUGUUACUCCUGGGAAAGCAAUACUAUUACUGUUUGGCUCUUUAUCUCACUAUUAUCAUGGUUAUCGUGUGAGCUUCGGUUUCCUUGUUUACCCUGCCACUAGCUGACAUGGUUGAUGCAGAUUUACUAAAGUUUAAUCAGCAGUCACCCCUUCCUUCAGUGGUUUUGGCAUUAAUGCUUUGUUUACCAAAUCUGCCCAGUCUUUAGCGCCCAUGGUGAUACUCUCUAGGCUAAACCAGUAUGAAUAUGGAAACACAAAUAGCAGCUAAAGUAAAAAAAGCUCUUGAAAUAAUGUAAAAGAAACAUGAAAGCAAACACAGCCUUUUACGUUAAUUACUAAGCAAUUAUCUUGACCUUUGUAUAUUAUUAGUCACUAACUUGUAUCUUGAGUAAGGUAUAAUAAAAAGUAUUAGUAUCAAA